CAGGGAGACAACAAAAUGUUUAAUAUUAUUAUUUUGUCACCUUAGGUCGAUCGGUAUCUCACGUUCUUAAUUUGUUAAGAAUUUCAUUUCCUAAGUUUUUCUAGGUCACACCCAUUAUUUUUCCUGGGCCAUUAGCUCAGGUGGUUAGAGCGCACCCCUGAUAAGGGUGAGGUCCCUGGUUCAAGUCCAGGAUGGCCCAUAUCUCUAUGUUGGGGGUAUAGCUCAGUUGGUAGAGCGCCUGCUUUGCAAGCAGGAUGUCAGCGGUUCGAGUCCGCUUACCUCCACUGAUUACCACCUCUUCCAUAUCUGGUAGAAAGGAAAUGUUUUGAGUUGUGAUUAUUAUUCUGAACGAAUCUAGCUUCCUAAUGAAAUCAUUAAGAUGCUGGACUCAUUGAAUUAAUUUCAUUGUUUUCAGAGAACCUUGACAACUGCAUAGAUUUUUUUAAAGACAAUAAGCAUCUUUAAUGAUGCAGAUUUAUUAUUUGUGCGAAUGCAUUAAUAACAAUUCUAUUAAGCUGAUGCUUCAAUGUUUGAAGUUAUU
rnacentral:tRNA from 1 species